UGAGAAGUGGGUGUCCUGUAACCAAAGUGUGGCAAGAUUUGUAUACGUUUUUGUACUCUACAAGUGACGGUGGCAUCAUAUAUCAGGGUAAAAGGGUAGGUUAUUUUUAGAUCUAUGCUAAUAUUCACCUCUAGAACAUUACCAAGGCGAGGAUUCAUAUGUAUCUCAUGCGCUGUUGAGUGAGAUGGGUCUUCAUGGCAACGUGCAAUUUCAUUUAUCCAUCCAAGGCAGGCCAAAUCACUGGCUUCGUCCACUUACCAAGACUACUGCUGAAACACUAUCAAGUGCUUGAAAUCAUGUUUCAAAGCUUAAAAUGUAUUUUUCUUAUUUAUCCACCAAGAUUGAUGGGGUCAAGGAAGUACCUAACAUUGGAUCACUGCACAUCCUAUGCCUCAUUUUUCUUCAAUGAGAAACAGAAGAAAGUAUCCAAUACAGAAGAGCCAAUGAACAGCCAAGGAGACAAAAUGACUCAACUAGCUGACAUCGGUCACCCAGAAGUGGCAAGAUGGGGACAUAAAUGGAGAGGUCACUGUGGCAGAAAUAGAGAUGGAAGCAGAGAAGGAGACAUGGACUCCCAUUUACCAAGGCCAACUCUGAACAUCCAACCUAUGAGCAACAAAGACCAACACCAAGCCCCCAUAUAGCAUUAUGCCUCAGGCAGACCAACAGACUAUUAAGUGGUAAGCUGACUACACUGGGCCUCUUCCAUCUUGGAUGGGCCAGUGAUUGAUCUUCACAGGAUUAGACAUUUAUUCCAGGUAUGGGUUUGCCUUUCCUGUCCAUAGAGACCUAGCCAGUACCACUAAAUAUAGACUUAUACAGCACUUAAUCAACAGACAUGGAAUCCAGCCAAGGGAAUCACUUCACAGUGAAAGAUUUGUGGCAGUAGGCCCAUAACCAUAAGCUCCAGUAGUUAUAUCCAUAACAGCUCCAUACAAAAGGACCAGUCUUAGAGAGUAUUGGAAUGGCCUGCUGCAGGCACAGCUAAUGUACUAGCUCAGAGACAAAAAUGGUGUGCUAUCCUCUUGUAUGCAGUACAUGCACUGAUUUAGAGCUAGGUUCCCAGUAAGAAGAAUACAUGGGUCUGAGAACCAAGAAGUGGAAAGGGAAAUAGCCCCUACUCGCCAUCAUUCCCAAUGAUCUACUUUGUGCUUCCCAUCUCUGCAAUGUGGGGCUCUACGGAGUUAGAAGUCCUGGCACCCAAAGCGGGCACACUUUUGCCAAGAGACACAUGAAAGGUCACAGUGAACUACAAUUUACAGCUGCAGCCUGAAUACUGAGUAUUCCUUGUGUCCAAGGACUAGAAAGCAGUAAGAGGAAUGCCCAUCUUGGCAAGAUUAAUUAACCCUCAUCCUCAGGAGGAAGUAGGGCUGCCGUUACACAAAGGGAACAAGAAAGAAUAUGUGUGGGACUCAGAUGAUUCCCUAGGAUACCACUUAAUACUCCCUGCCCAGUAGUGACUAUGAAUGGGCAAAUGCAACCACUCCAGUCUCAGACCCCUCAGAAAUGAGGGUUUGGGUCAAACCACUAGGUAAACAACCAACACCAGCAGAAAUGAUAGCUGAGGGCAAGGGCAAUUUAGACUACAUAGUGGAGAUGGCUCUAGAACUUUGUGGCUCUGAGACCAGCUACAGUGAUGAGCCUGAGGCCUGUCUCACUAAUCUCUUUCUACAUUUCCUCCCUUGGAGGAGCUGCUCUCAGAAACUGUGAAGAUAUGGAUCUGUGCAUCAUGAGGAAUGGACUGUAGCAAUCACUUGGAUCUUCCUUCAAAAAAGAAUUGCCAUUCAGGUCCAAGGAGUUUGGUUAGCUAACAGCCUCCAGCUGCAGCAUGUUCAGAAUUCAUCUCAGCUUCCCAGUCAUGACCAUGCUCUCCUUGGGCAGCUCUAGCCAGUGACUAAACAUGGUGGGUGUACUAAAAUCUGGCCAUUUCUGCCCAUGCAGGCCUCCUCUAACAGGCAAUAUGUGCUCUGAAGUUCCCUGUUAGGUUGACUGAGAUUUUUUCAGAUCUGCAUCACAGACUGAGGCUCUCCCUAGGCAAUUCUGCUUUCUCCCCAUUUCCUUUCAUAGGCAUUCCAUCCCAUAAAACCUCUUGUGCUACUACAUCCAUUUCAACGUCUGCUUCCCAGCGGACCUGAACCAAUACACUAUGUACUUAGCUCUUUACAUGUAUCUGUUUAUUUAACCCACUGAUGUAUUAUUGUUAGUCCCAUUUUACAGGUGAGAAAACUGAAGCACAAAGAAGUUAUUAACUUGCCCAAGAUCACAAAGUGAAAGGAGAAUUAAAUUUGAACCCAGACAGUUUGACUCUAGAGCCUGUAAUUUAAUCACUAUGCUGGGAGAGACAGGAUACUGUCUUGUCAUCUUUAGAUAUUAAGAGUGAUUAUUUAUUCUGUGUAAUUUUAAAGAGUAAAAGAGCAAAAGGAUAUAUACUAGAAAAAAAGCUAGAUUUUUGGCUGAAUAUAAAAAGAAAUAAUACUGCUAAUAUUCUAAUAACGUGCAGAAUGAGCACCUUCAGGAAGUAAUCAGGGCCUAUCAUCUGAGAGUUCAAAGUCUCGGAUACGGUGAGGGUGAGACUUUAAAAAACAGGUAAAAGUUGACCUACAUCAGUAAAGGGUAUUAAUUACUAAGGCCUACGUGGAAAAAAGGGGUUCCACAACCAAAUAAGUUUGGGUAAUAUAGCCAGGCACACUGGCUCAUGCCUGUAAUCCCAGUACUUUAGGAGGCUGAGGCAGGUGGAUCAUCUGAGGUCAGGAGUUCGAGAUCAGCCUGGCCAACAUGGUGAAAUCCCAUCUCUACUAAAAAUACAAAAAUUAGCCAGACAUGGUGGUGCAUGCCUGUAAUCCCAGCUAAUCAGGAGGCUGAGGCAGGAGAAUUAUUUGAACCUGGAAGGCGGAGGUUGCAGUUAACCAAGAUGGUGCCACUGCACUCCAGCCUGGGUAACAAGAGCAAAACUCCAUCUCAAAAAAAAAAUUGGGGUAAUACAUAGCUGAACAAAGUUAAACAAGUUUCUUCCACUCCUCAGUCUUUAGAAUACUAACGUGCAUUUGCAAACUUCUACCUAAGGGAUAUAUAGUAAGCUGAAAACCCAAACUUAUUUGACUAAAGAACAUCUCCUUGCUCCUAGGGAACAUACUUUAGAAAUCCUGGAUGGGCUCAGAGAGGUGGCUCAUGUCUCUAAUCCCAGCACUUUGGGAGGCCGAGGCGGGUG
rnacentral:lncRNA from 1 species